GGACUGCAAACGUCAAACGGACUCCCGAUCUAGCGACAAAUGGACUUUCAAAACAGAAAAAAAGUAUGAAUAAAACUAUAAGAGUUUAUGUGCUGAUGCCAGAGGCAUUAAGAUAUGGUGUAGCAAUAGAAACCAUGCCUAGGUAAAUUCUGGAACAAACAGAGUUGUGUGGUGUUCAAUAAACUCAAAUUGACCAACAACCGCAAGCCUUCCCAACGUGACCAAAUACCUUUGCAUUCAAUGCAUCGUUACCAGCCAAAAUUAUAUGUUCAACCUAUUCCAAAUGAUUGCAGAGAAGCCUUCAACAAUUGUAACGACUGGUGGAGGACGUUCUGCCGAAGACGAAGCUCAGCCAUAUCGCUCACCUUUCCUGAAACUCAAUUCAUCACCGUUACUGCCUACCAAAAUCGACAGAUAGACGCAUUCAAUUAUAGAUGUUGCUCGUUUGAUCAACUCAUAAAUUCAAACUGAAAAAUUAACGUAUGCAUUUCGAUACCAGAUCACUAGACUGAAAAUUGCUAGCAAUCCCUUCGCCAAAGGUUUUCGCGAAUCGAGUCGUGAACCAAGGAAUUCUGAUGCCAAAGAGGACGACGACGCACAACGUGAUAAUAAGAAAAUACGCAUUUCAUCGAGCAGCAAAGACAACAACACGAGCAAUUUUCCUCUUACAAAUAUGAAUUCAUGGCAUCCGUUUGACUAUCGCGCCGUUCACCAGCCGAUAUACCAUUGGUGGAUUCAACAGUACUCCAUUUUACAUCCUUUCAUACCCAUAGUUCCAUCACUGCCUCAUGGACAAACGGAAGAGGCCUUACAACAUUGUUUUUUCUCUGACUCAACAUUUGUUUAAACCGUUUCCGUUGUAUUUAUGGUGAUUCAAAUAAAAAUACGUUAGCAGGCCUUCAA